rnacentral:lncRNA from 1 species
GCGCAUCUAAGCGUUUCGCAAGCACGGUAACAUAGCACAUACAUAAUAAUAGUAGAAUGACAAUAAGGUAUUCAACUGCCAUCUCAUAAAUAUAUCAGAGUUACAUCACGCAUCCAAACAAGGUAGUUCUACUAUGGACUACAAAACAUGAGAAAUGACUAUGCUACCCUCCAUGCUUGCCCAUGAUCACGACCACGCCUCAGUGUUAUGGAUAGUUCACGUACAGGCGGUCGUUCUCCUCAUCGUACUGCCACGNNNNNNNNNNNNNNNNNNNNNNNNNNNNNNNNNNNNNNNNNNNNNNNNNNNNNNNNNNNNNNNNNNNNNNNNNNNNNNNNNNNNNNNNNNNNNNNNNNNNUGCCUCUGGGCCGGGACUAAAGGCCCGGCCACGUCGCCCCAAUUCUCAUAUCCUCCCUCGAGGCUUUAGUCCCGGCCCGUAAGGAGCCUUUAGUCCCGGUUCGUGUCCCAAACCGGGACUAAAGGGCUACGCGGUGGGCAGCCCGCAUGUGCGCCACCUUUAGUCCCGGUUUGCCUCUCAAAUUGGGACUAAAGUCCUCUGCCUAUAUAUAGCACAGCCCCCUCUCCCCUCUUCGUUGCAUUUUUCUUGGAUGGAGGAUUGUGGGUGGGUGCUUGCUCUCCACUUUUUUUGAUGCACUAGAGGUGUUUGUUGAAAUGUGUGUUAGAGCGAUGCCGCUUCAGUUCACCGAACACAACUACGAUAUGAGAUGCCCGAGCCACGCUUAAACCUCUUCCUCUUUAUUUCUACUUAUUCUAAAAGGUUAGCAACUAUAUUUCCUCGUUUAGACCGUGCGGUACUAAUUUUUAGGAUCGUGAUUGUAUUUGAUAUACUGUCGUAUAACGCAGAUGAGCCAUCCAUGGAUGUACGGUGAUCGACGCACAGCCGCUUACAGAGAAGGCGUGCAUUCUUUUUUAGAUGCAGCCGAUGCGAACAAGCAUGGUGGUGGCUAUAUGUUUUGUCCAUGUGUUGAAUGUUGGAAUGAGAAGGAUUACACUUCCUCAAGAGUCAUUCAGAGCCACCUGCUUCGGUCCGGUUUUAUGUCAGGCUAUAAUGGUGUGUUGAAUGUCGGAAUGAGAAGGAUUACACUUCCUCAAGAGUCAUUCAGAGCCACCUGCUUCGGUCCGGUUUUAUGUCGGGCUAUAAUGUUUGGACCAAGCACGGAGAAAGAGGGGUUAUGUUGGAAGACGACGAUGAAGAAGAAGAGCACGAUUAUGACAACUACCGAUCUAUGUUCCCUGAGUAUGCUGACACCGCAAUGGAAGACAAUGAAGAAGAAGGUCAGGAUGAAGAACGGGAACCAGAUGAGCCCGCUGAUGAUCUUGGCCGGGUCAUUUCUGAUGCACGCCGAGGUUGUAUGUUCCCUGAGUAUGCUGAUACCGCAAUGGAAGACAAUGAAGAAGAAGAUCAGGAUGAAGAACGGGAACCAGAUGAGCCCGCUGAUGAUCUUGGUCGGUUCAUUUCUGAUGCACGGCGAGGUUGCGACACAGAAAAGGAGAGGUUGCAGUUCGAGCAGAUGUUACAGGACCACAACAAAUUGUUGUACCCAACUUGUGAAGAUGGCCAGAAGAAGCUGGGUAGCACACUGGAAUUGCUGAAGUGGAAGGCAGAGAUCGGUGUGACUGACUCGUCAUUCGAAAAGUUGCUGGUACUAAUGAAGAAGAUGCUUCGAAGAAAGAUCGAAUUGCCCGCCAGCACGUAGGAAGCAAAGAAGCUUGUCUGCCCUCUAGGAUUAGACGUGCAGAAGAUACAUGCAUGCCCUAAUGACUGCAUCCUCUACCGCGGUGAGAAGUACGAGAAUAUGGAUAAAUGCCCGGUAUGCACUGCACUGCGGUAUAAGAUCAGAAAAGAUGACCCUGGUGAUAUUGAGGGCGAGCCACCCAGGAAGAGGGUUCCUGCCAAGGUGAUGUGGUAUGCUCCUAUAAUACCACGCUUGAAACGUCUGUUCAGAAAUAAAGAUCAUGCGAAGUUGUUGCGAUGGCACAUGGAAGAUCGUAUGAGUGAUGUGGUAUGCUCCUAUAAUACCACGCUUGAAACGUCUGUUCAGAAAUAAAUAUAAUGUGAAGUUGUUGCGAUGGCACAUGGAAGAUCUUAUGAAAGACGAUAAGUUGAGGCACACCGCUGAUGGUCGGCAGUGGAUAAAAAUCGAGAGAGAGUUCCCGAGAUUUGCAGCUGACGCAAGGAACUUAUGGUUAGGUCUGAGUACAGAUGGCAUGAAUCCUUUUGGGGAGCAGAGUUGCAGUCACAGCACCUGGCCCGUUACUCUAUGUAUCUACAACCUUCCUCCUUGGUUGUUCAUGAAGCGGAAGUUCAUUAUGAUGCCAGUGCUUAUACAAGGUCCAAAGCAACCCGGCAACGAUAUUGAUGUGUACCUAAGGCCAUUAGUUGANNNNNNNNNNNNNNNNNNNNNNNNNNNNNNNNNNNNNNNNNNNNNNNNNNNNNNNNNNNNNNNNNNNNNNNNNNNNNNNNNNNNNNNNNNNNNNNNNNNNAGUUAUGUUUAAGUUAUCUAUAACCGGAUGUUAACAAAUAUUCCAAGCUGCCACAUAACCGCGGGCACAGCUUUCUGAAAGAUUAAACCCUAUUGGGGUGCUCCAACUAGUCCAUCACAAACGAUCACGGGCCGCAAAGUAAUCCUCUAUCACGAAUCUCGUGAUCUCGUCGAAUUCCUUAGAGGAAAACCUCAACUCUGGAGAGAACCAAAGCUUCACCGGGAUUCCUUUACGCAAUAUAUAUCGCUAAGGUAAGACAACUCUAGCAGGACCUCCCAUCGUGUCGACGACCCCGAUAAGAGCCGCGUAUCUCAGUCUGAGGACACGACGGAUGGAAAAGCCUACACGAGCCAAACCUCAAGUUUCCCUGUGGUGGCCCCCGCAGUCUGUCCAUUUUUGGACCAACACUCAUGAGGAGCACUGGCCCGGGUUGUUGAUUAAAUUCCUCGGGAAGGCCAUUCCCUAUGCAGAUUAUUAUUAAGUGAUUAGCAAAUUAACACCAAGGUUGGGUCCUGCCGAACAAGUCUUAACACUACGCGAUUUAUCAAGGGGGUUCCAUAACAACCCCGAACGUGUUAGGAGUGAACAGCUAUGGAAUCAAACACCGGUAGCCGGUAGCUAUGGCGGCAAUAACAGAACAAAACACCCGGCAAAAGGCUAGGCCUUCCGUUAUUUACCAAGUAUAUAGGUGCAUUAAUUAAAUAACAGAUUUAGCAUAAUGAUAUCAAGCUCAUGUUAUCACAUGAGACUAAGCACCCGCAACUAGCAACGCUAACAUUAAAAGCUUAGCAAAGCCUACAUAGCCAUUCAAGAUUUGCUAGGAAGGGAAAAUGUUUGGGUUUCAUGGCAAUUCAGGAGGCAAUUAUUUCAGUGGUAGGCAGCGAGCAUAUGACGAAGAAACGUAAUCUAGCAUAACAUGUCUAGAGAUGGAAUCAAGGUCAUAUCAUCUUGCCUGUCAUGUCCUCAGCUUAGAACUGCUCUUGUUCGUCCUGCACGUACUCUCCCGGAUCCACAUACUCGUUCUCCGAUCCCGGUGCUACCCAACAUAAAAAUAACAUCCAAUGAACAACAACACCUCAAAUGCAACAAGCACAUGAUGCAUGAGAUGAAAAUGAACAUGCAUCUCUAUUCUAGUCACUAGCACAAGCAUGAGAAGUAAAUACAAGUUCCUGGACAGAACUGCAAUCUAAGCUAUCUUGACAUGCAUGAGAAUGACAUGAACAGAUGCUUCACGCGAAAACGAUGCAAAAACAUAUAAAGAACGUAACGAUCGGAGCUACGGAUCAACGGAAAACAACGUAACAAGAAAUGACGUCCUCAGACUUGGUGAAAAUCACAGAUUUUCACUAAACUGGAAUUUCAGCCACAUGCCUACUUUGACUAGGCACAACUUGCACAUAUGAGCUACUAAGCAUGAAACAAAACCAACAUGCUAUAGAGGGGGUCACCCUCUAAUGCCACAACAAGGAAUCAACCUCUUGGGCUCACCACAUCUCAUUGAACCAAGCUCCAAACAUUGAACAAAUCUGAAAUAUGACAUUCCCAGAAAGUGUUCCAAAGUCAAAACUGACUUCACCAAUGGAUUCCUGAGAUGUUUCUACCCCAAAAGCAUAUAUAAUACAUGGGCACUUGCAUAGAACAAAUGGGCACAAACUAGAAAAGAAAAACUACAUAGAAUCACAUAUCAUAGAGGGGGUCACCCUCUAAUGUCACAACAAGGAAUCAACCUCUUGGGCUCACCACAUCUCAUGGAACCAAGCUCCAAACAUUGAACAAAUCUGAAAUAUGACAUUCCCAGAAAGUGUUCCAAAGUCAAAACUGACUUCACCAAUGGAUUCCUGAGAUGUUUCUACCCCAAAAGCAUAUAUAAUACAUGGGCACUUGCAUAGAACAAAUGGGCAGAAACUAGAAAAGAAUACUUCUCGGAAUCACAUAUGGUGAAUAGUGCAUCAUCACAUGUGCUAUUCACUAGAACAACAUCUACACAAGCAUAUGCACACUCUCACAAGCACAAUGGUGACAUGAGGGUUUAGACCUCAUGCAUGUGUUCCAUAGCACCUCACCAUACCCACACACAUACAACAAGCACAAGCAUUACAACAAGCACAAGCAUCACAACACCUACAUAUGCUAAUAAGGACACACACACUAGAUGACACCACAUCAUCCAUACCCCUACACAUAUGAACAUGCUCAAGUGCUCAUCCAAGGUUAACCAAGCCUUGGGUAUGUGUGGGUCACCACACACUUACAACACACUCAUGACAAGAGCACCCACAUAAACACAAGGUGGGUGAGGGGGGAAACCCACACACACACUCACACCACACUCUCAAGCAAUAGUGCAUGAGCUCAAUUCUCAUCAUUUAUAUAUGUUUCACACACACCACAUAAGCAUCAUCACUUAGUGCCAUACACUCACAAGGUGCACACACACACAUGAUACUUAAACAUACGUACACCACACAACCUACACAUGCAUAUAACAACUACUAAGCUAGCAAAUACUAGCAACACAUGUUGUUGGAGGCAAGCAAAAAAAAUACCCACAUGAAGAUCUACCACCCCACUUACAUCUAUGCAAGCAUACAAUGCAAAAACAGGAAGAAUGCAACAAAAAUAUAAAGGGUUUUGGGGGGGAGGGGUCGAACCCUGGAGCCCCUGGUUCAAGCCACAGACCCAAACCACUCUGCUAACCUGCACUAGCUCGAUAGAGAAGGGAAAGCUUGCAAGGUAAGGUUGCACUCUGCGCUACUGUGCGAAACAAAGGAAAUAAAAAGGGGGGUGGCAACCCUGGGACUCGAACCCUGCCCCUCACGCCAACACAGACAACACCAUGCACUGCAACCACUAGGAUACGCUACGGGGAGUUGACUGAACAGAGGGGGGUAUACUAGGUAUACUACCAAGCCUCGCUGCUUGGCUCUGAGCACAGAGAGACGUCGGCGGCAGAGGACAUCACCGGGGCAGCCUGAGCUAGCUACUGCUGCUCUACGAGGGGGAAGAACUACCCUACUGCUGCGAGGAAAAACCUCUACACUGCUACUGCAUCUACUCGAGCACAUACACUACACAGAACAAACAAGAACACCCAUGACAUGCCGACCUCUUCUCUGAACAGAGAAGCACGGUGACGAUCAUCGCCGGAUCUAAUCGAGGGGAAGGGAGAGAAGAGGGCAUCCUCACCUAGGGAAGGAGAAGGGUACGCCGACUGGAGGAGGAGGCAGGUUGGAGAGGAACGAAGACGCCCUGACGAAGCCUAGAGACGUCCUGGAUGCAGAGCCGAAGGAGAGGAAGAAGACCGACGGGACCGCGCCGUUGGCCAGCUCCUGCCCGUGGGUGAGGUCGCUCCCCGGCCUCACCGAGGACGGGAAUGGAGCAUGGGGUCCUGCCCCGAGCCCGUGGACAUGGCGGCCGGCACCGGAGACGACGGGAGCAGGGUAGACGACGGCGGGGCUCUUCUCUCUCUCUCUGCUAGAUCGGCUACCGAACUUACCUUGGGGGAGGAAGAAGAGAUGGGGGAGAGUGGCGGCGCAAGGAGGGGAAAGGAGGAACCCUAAGGGAAGGGGGCACGCACGCCGAGGCUAUAUGGGGGGGCCUCGACAUCCGUGAGCCCUCACGGCGACUCUCUCUUUCUCGGUUGUCUGACGAAAAGCGAGCAGAGGGGUAGACGCCAUCAGGAGGAGGAAGGAGGGACGCGGAGGCUGGGCUGCUGCGCCCGUAGAGAGGGAGGAAUGGGCCUGCUAGUGGGAGGGAGCCCACUAGUACCGCUAGAUACGAGAAAUAUAACUCCUGGAGUUUUAUCCAAUUUCAAAUAACUAGAGAAAGCAAAUAAAGCACAGGCUAAACUAUAGAUGCUAAAAAUAAAACUAGCACACCCCUGGUCAUAAGAUAAUAUAACCUAUUUAAGAAAAAUGGAAAAUGAUUUUUUAUGAGCCUCUAAAUAUUUACGAAACAGAAUAUGUUGGGCUGUUUUGUGAAUAUUUUGCACCUAAUAGACGGAGAUGACUCCCUCUCCCUCUCUCCCCUCCUCCUCCUCCUCCUCCCACCUCCAUCUCCACAGCCUCUCCAAUCCUUCCAACCAUGAAGAUUUCUCAUGUUAAUCAAGAUGGAAGGGCUCAUACAUUGGGAUUUCUCACCAGGGUUAGCCGUGGCCAAACAGGUGAGGCUCAAGUUUGGCACCAUGGUGCAUUUUUCUUCUCCCCGGACAGGCAAAGUUUUCUACUUGGUGGUUUCUUUCUCCUCGGCCUCUUUCCCCUUGAAUGAAUAUUCAGUGGGCAUUUCUCUCCAAUGUUGCUUGGGUGGUUUAAGCUCGGGUUUCUCUGUCCGAAAAAUAUCAGCAAGAACCUUUCGGUUUAGUGUUGCCAACAACAAAGUGGGUCACUUCAUCUAUGGACUCGAAGAUAGAGUUUGGCCAGAUUUUGUUUGUCAUUUCCACCUCUUCAAGGGACGUUUUGCUCAGGCUAUACAUCAUGAUUAUCAUUGGCAUGCAGAUGAGGAAUUGGUUAACAUCUCUUCUAGGAAGUCUAUGGCGAUCAAAACUGAUUUAAGUUUUCUUGGCAAAGAGAUUAUCAAUGAUACUACAUCGGGUUUGCUCCACUCCUCAAAUUUGGUUAAGCUUGAUCUUAGCAACUUUUGCAAUCGUCAUGGGGGUGAAGCAUCAUCCUCACAUGCAGUAACGCAUGCCCACAAUCAACGUAACAUGGCACAUGCAAGUUUGAAUACAACAACGCCAUCCUCGGAGGAAAGCCCGCAUAUGCGUUUAAUGGAGAGUUAUGUCGCCCUAGCGGAUUUGGAGGAAGUGGGAUCUGCCUCUAAUUCCAAUUUCCAUCAUUUGGGCAGUUUCCGAUUUCGUCUUAAUGUUCCAUAUCCUACUCCACCGCAGUGUUUCCUUACAUCAACGUUUAAAUACGUGCCACAGCCUUCGGAGUGGCCGCCGGUUUUAGUGGCUCGUCACAAGGCAGAUUUAGCGCAAGCCCAAUACUCUGCCGAGGAAAUCUCGGAAUUAGCCAUUAAUUGGCCGUUUUUAUGCGCAAGAUGCCUUCAAUGGGGCAUCAUAAACGGGACUGUUUCUCGCGCGUGAUUUGCAUUAACUGCUCAGCUCCUAAUCACAAGAUGAUUGCUUCCCUACGAUUAUUAAGCAUAGUCUGUCGGCCGACACGACUACUACUCGGGCAAUUAGCACCAGAGAUUGCAAUCAAUCCAAAGUUGUCGUUUCCCGCUUGGUUCCCUCUCCAGGCAAACGUCUCGCGAUACAAGGUGCGACUGGUGUGGGGCAUAUGGACACAAGAUCCAUUUCUGUUUUAAGCGAGAAAAAUACUCUAAAUGGAUUUGGAUACCUAAAGUUUCCAGUUCUACCCCUCACGCUUCGAAUUCUGCGCCUUCCCCCACAGAGCUCAUCACCCUCCUGUCCCCUCCGAGACUACGGCCGCCACACCCUCCUUUGUCUUCUUUCUCAUCGCCGUCUCCUCGGCUGUCAACCACCUCCAUUGCCAUGGCUAACUAUCCACUAAACCCAGUACCGUUCCUCCCGCCCGGAUUCGCCGUGGAACCUGGUCCGAGUGAUAGAAUCGUGCGGAGUGGCAUGGUGAUUGGGCCGUUUCCACCCCUCAACCACGACUUCCUGGCGAUUGCGGAGGCAAGUCACUAUGUUCAUCUUCAUUGCCGCGAAGCCAUCCGAGCUCAGAUCGAAGGUUUGCUUCACGAAGCUCACUUAUUCACCACUGAAUCUUCUGAUCAUCCAUUGGGCAUUGGGAUAUUUGGAUUUGCGGAUGCUUUCAUGAGAGAUACCGCCAUUGCUUCUCCCCUAGAGCUUGAGGACGAGGAUCCUCUCCNNNNNNNNNNNNNNNNNNNNNNNNNNNNNNNNNNNNNNNNNNNNNNNNNNNNNNNNNNNNNNNNNNNNNNNNNNNNNNNNNNNNNNNNNNNNNNNNNNNNGACAAGAGGAGAAGAAAGAGGAAAAAUGAAAGGAAGCAAGAAGAAGAAGAAGAGAAGAAUAAGAAGAGAAGGAGGAGGAUAAUAAGAAGGAGAAGAAGGAGGAGAAGAAGGAGAAGGAGCUCCUCCUUCUCCUUCUUCUUCCUCCUUCUUCCUCCUUCUCCUUCUCCUUCUUCUUUUCUUCUUCUUCUCCUCUUCCUUCUCCUUCUCCUCCUCCUCCUCCUCCUUCUUCUUCUUCUUCUUUUACUUCUUCUUCUCUUAUUGCUUCUUCUCUUUCUCUUCUUCUACGUAGCUUAGAUUCAUCCAAGAAAGACUAAAUUGGCUAAUUAUCCUACAAAAUGACAUAANNNNNNNNNNCCUUCUUCUUUUACUUCUUCUUCUCUUGUUGCUUCUUCUCUUUCUCUUCUUCUACGUAGCUGAGACUCAUCCAAGAAAGACUAAAUUGGCUAAUUAUCCUACAAAAUGACAUAAUUAGCUUAGUUAGCUCCAAAAUGACAUAAUUUGCUUAGUUAGCUCCAAAAUGACCUAUUUAAUAAAUAAUGGCCUAUAGUUAGCUAAGUUAUCUCCUAAAUGACAUAAUAAGGCUUAUGUAGCUGCAAUAUGACCUAUUCCCCCUAACUUAGGUAUUAAAUGGCCUAUAAUUAGCCUNNNNNNNNNNNNNNNNNNNNNNNNNNNNNNNNNNNNNNNNNNNNNNNNNNNNNNNNNNNNNNNNNNNNNNNNNNNNNNNNNNNNNNNNNNNNNNNNNNNNUUAGACUCAUCCAAGAAAGACUAAAUUGGCUAAUUAUCCUACAAAAUGUCAUAAUUAGCUUAGUUAGCUCCGAAAUGACCUAUUUAAGAAAGAAAUGACCUAUAGUUAGCUAAGUUCUCUCCUAAAUGACAUAGUAAGGCUUACUUAGCUGCAAGAUGACCUAUUCCCCCUAAUUAGGUAUUAAAUGGCCUAUAAUUAGUCUAGCUAGAUCCAAAAUGGCUUAAUAAGCAUAGUUUGCUCCGGAAUGACCUAUUUUACCCAAGUUAGCUCCGAACCGACCUAUAGUUAGCUAGGCUUCCACCUAAAUGACAUAAUUAGCUUAGUUAGCUCCAAAAUGGUCUAUUUAAUAAAGCAUGACCUAUACUUAGCUAAUUAUCCUUGAAAUGACAUAACUAGCUCCAAAAAGGCAUUCUUAGCUAAUUUAGCCCGAAGAAGGGGACAAGAGGAGAAGAAAGAGGAAAAAUGAAAGGAAGCAAGAAGAAGAAGAAGAUAAGAAGAAGAGAAGGAGGAGGAUAAGAAGAAGGAGAAGAAGGAGAAGGAGCUCCUCCUUCUCCUUCUUCUUCCUCCUUCUUCCUCCUUCUCCUUCUCCUUUUUCUUUUCUUCUUCUUCACCUCUUCCUUCUCCUUCUCCUCCUCCUCCUCCUCCUCCUCCUCCUUCUUCUUCUUUUACUUCUUCUUCUCUUCUUGAUUCUUCUCUUUCUCUUCUUCUACGUAGCUUAGACUCAUCCAAGAAAGACUAAAUUGGCUAAUUAUCCUACAAAAUGNNNNNNNNNNNNNNNNNNNNNNNNNNNNNNNNNNNNNNNNNNNNNNNNNNNNNNNNNNNNNNNNNNNNNNNNNNNNNNNNNNNNNNNNNNNNNNNNNNNNCCCCCCCGACGCCACCCAUAACCUCGCCGCCACCCUCGCCGCCCCACGCCACCGCGCCUCCCCUUGCCGGAGUAUCGGCCGCCACCAGAAGCUCCAGGAGCUCGAGCUCCAUCGCCCCGAGCUCCUCUCCGCCACCACCGAACGAAGGAGGAGGAAUUCCUCCACCUCCUGGACCCUCCAAACGCCGCCACAGAUCAGCGGAGCCCCUCCCCAUCGCCAGCUCUGCCUCGGCCUCGCCGGCGACCUUGCCGGAGCACCACCACCCCUGUGAGCUCCCCUCCCGUUAAUAACCGUCNNNNNNNNNNCCCUCGCCGCCCCACGCCACCGCGCCUCCCCUCGCCGGAGUAUCGGCCGCCACCAGAAGCUCCAGGAGCUCGAGCUCCAUCACCCCGAGCUCCUCUCCGCCACCACCGAACGAAGGAGGAGGAAUUCCUCCACCUCCUGGACCCUCCAGACGCCGCCACAUAUCACCGGAGCCCCUCCCCAUCGCCAGCUCUGCCUCGGCCUCGCCGGCGACCUCGCCGGAGCACCACCACCCCUGUGAGCUCCCCUCCCGUUAAUAACCGUCCGAUCUAGAUCUUACGCGCACGAUUAGAAGCAGGAUAACCCUUUGGUUUUUAAACAAAAACCGAACGGUUUUCUUCACUUAUUAUUUAGCCAGAGAGAUUUUGUUUAAUUUGCGGCCGUCCGCUAGUUAGUCAUCGCAGCGCACACCUCCUAGCCACUCAGGACGCGCCACGUGGACCCCCUGUUCACUAGUUAGACUUUUUUUAUUUUCAGUUUAAUUCAAAAACAGAGAUAGUUCCAAUUUUGUUUGGCUCAUAACUUUUGAUUCUUAAGUCCAAUGGAGUUGAUUAUUUUUCCAGUAGAUCACAAUUUUUCUGUAGUUUUUAAAAACAUAUAAUUUGUCUAUGUUUGAAAUUUUCAAAUUUGAAUUAGAUCAGCUUUAGUUUAAACCUUGUUUUGCCUAUUCCAGGAGUUUAAAAAUAGAUUUUAAUUUGAUUCUUUUUGCUACUGAUCACUAGUGAUCCUAGUUACCGGUGGUAAAACUUUCAGAUUUGUUUGAGUAUUUUAGCUCACUGUUUCUUGUGAAACCAUUUCUAUUUCACCUCUUUUAGGAUUACGGCUAAUUCCUUUUCUAUAAUUGUUUUUAAAUUAUUUUCUUUUNNNNNNNNNNUUAUUUUAGCUUACUGUUUCUUGUGAAACCAUUUCUGUUUCACCUCUUUUAGAAUUACGGCUAAUUCCUUUUCUAUAAUUGUUUUUAAAUUAUUUUCUUUUAUAUUUCAGAAAGAUAAUGUUUUGUUUAUGUUAGUUAACAGUAGGUUUGCAACAAGUUUUGAUUUUGAUUUUUAUAUGUUAUCAUGAAAUCAAUUCUAGUUCUCUAAUAACUUGCAAUUGGUUUCUCCACUGUUUCAAAUCCCGUUUGGAAAUACUUUCAAAACAUUUUGUGAAAAAUACUUUAUUUUAUCUUAGUUAAAUUUAUAUCUUAGUUCCCUGUUAUUAUUUUCCGUUGGACAAAAACUAUUUAGUGUUUGAUGUAGUAGAAGACUCCCUAGGCUUAUUUGAAGUUUACUUCGGAUUCCUAUUCGUCUCUCUUUUGUUUUGAUUGCUAGAAUGAUUGCUAGUAUGAGUGCUUAUGUGAAUGAUAUGUUUGUUAUAUAGAUUUCAUCGGAGAGUGACGAGUAGUCUAUCAAGUUAUUUCUCGAGAAAUUCUUCUUCGUCAACAUCGCCAGGCAAGUCAUUUUGAUCAUACAAUUUCCUAUGUUUUUUCGAUGCAUGGUAGUUGCACCUUUAUUUGCCCAAUUGCAUGUUGCUUAGGUACAUGGAAAUUUUAGUAUAGAUUGUAGUAUCAUGUGGUAGGCACGCAACAACCCCGAUACUUGGCCUCGGGACGACAAAUUUCAUAUUGCUAUGCUUGAGUAGACGGGAUUUCGUUUGAGUGCAUAACACGAGUGAUGCGAGGUUGAUUAAAUAAUCAAGACCGGUUAAGACAAGAUUUUCAAGACCUCGGAUGCAAUGCAACUCUGGGUGAAGGACGAUUGAUCGGCUCCCUGGAGAACCCAGUGGAUGACCCGGGAUGCUGGAGACGGCCAUGACAUCCUGCGGAAAGCUUCACCCAGGCUCAAAGAGACGGACGAAUAUUUUCAAGACCCAAGGCUUACCUGCACAGCCACAAGUCAUUAUGGGCUCUGGCUUGGUUGGACAACGCGGCGGCUCUGGACAGGCGGUGCUAGCAGAUGUAGAAGAAUGGUAGGAUUGGAUGGGCACCGACAGGGAUUCAGAGGGACCCGUUGGAAGACCAUGUUUUGGCCAUCCGGUCUUCAAACACCGUGAAGUGCGAGGACAUACACGGAGGCGAUCAAAUCUUGUGGGGAACGUNNNNNNNNNNNNNNNNNNNNNNNNNNNNNNNNNNNNNNNNNNNNNNNNNNNNNNNNNNNNNNNNNNNNNNNNNNNNNNNNNNNNNNNNNNNNNNNNNNNNCCAGCUGCGUGCCGUCGGGAUCACCUGUCUCGGGGGUACCUGAACCUGUUGGUGUUGUGAAGGAAUCUGUUAGCCACGGGGACUCAGCAAUCUAUGACCUCGGUGCCAGAAUUUGUCAAGUUAUUAGGUAAGGAAGGUGGAGUAUUUAGGUUGCAGCAUCCUAAGCUUUAUAGUGGCUAACUUACGUAGAACAUGUAUGAAGGUGGUCUAUACUAGCGAUCGUGGUAUAGCUGAUCACUAAGUGAUCCUGAACACCUACUUACGUCAAUCAUAACCCCACCAUGUUCCCGAUCGAAGAGAGGUCUUAGAAGGGGACAGUCACGGUUACACACACAGUUGGCAAUUUUAUUAGAGUUAUGUUUAAGUUAUCUAUAACCGGAUGUUAACAAAUAUUCCAAGCUGCCACAUAACCGCGGGCACAGCUUUCUGAAAGAUUAAACCCUAUUGGGGUGCUCCAACUAGUCCAUCACAAACGAUCACGGGCCGCAAAGUAAUCCUCUAUCACGAAUCUCGUGAUCUCGUCGAAUUCCUUAGAGGAAAACCUCAACUCUGGAGAGAACCAAAGCUUCACCGGGAUUCCUUUACGCAAUAUAUAUCGCUAAGGUAAGACAACUCUAGCAGGACCUCCCAUCGUGUCGACGACCCCGAUAAGAGCCGCGUAUCUCAGUCUGAGGACACGACGGAUGGAAAAGCCUACACGAGCCAAACCUCAAGUUUCCCUGUGGUGGCCCCCGCAGUCUGUCCAUUUUUGGACCAACACUCAUGAGGAGCACUGGCCCGGGUUGUUGANNNNNNNNNNNNNNNNNNNNNNNNNNNNNNNNNNNNNNNNNNNNNNNNNNNNNNNNNNNNNNNNNNNNNNNNNNNNNNNNNNNNNNNNNNNNNNNNNNNNUGCAAUCUAAGCUAUCUUGACAUGCAUGAGAAUGACAUGAACAGAUGCUUCACGCGAAAACGAUGCAAAAACAUAUAAAGAACGUAACGAUCGGAGCNNNNNNNNNNCUCAAAUGCAACAAGCACAUGAUGCAUGAGAUGAAAAUGAACAUGCAUCUCUAUUCUAGUCACUAGCACAAGCAUGAGAAGUAAAUACAAGUUCCUGGACAGAACCACACUCUAAGAUAUCUUUACAUGCAUGAGAAUGACAUGAACAUAAGCGUCACGCGAAAACGAUGCAAAAACAUAUAAAGAACGUAACGAUCGGAGCUACGGAUCAACGGAAAACAACGUAACAAGAAAUGACGUCCUACGUAUCAAAAUCAUCACAACACUCACCAAUGGCAUACUUCUGCUAUUUCCAGGUUGCCAAGACAUAAAACAAACCAACAUGGAUGGGGUGGUGCAAGGAAUAUCACCACACCAUCAUCUAUGCACUCACAAGCAUCAAAACAUCAAAACUAUACAUGCUGCCAUAAACAACAUCGUAGCAGUUUGAGGGCUACAUGCAAAGCACCUACAGCCACCCAAAUAUGCCAAUUAAUAUAUGUGGCAGAAUCUAUCAAAGAUUACUACAAGCACAAGCAAAAAGAUAAUACAAAGGAGUUUCACACAGAAAGUUACACAGCUGCUAACUUGGCCAAAAAUAUCAGUUUUUAGGGACUUAGUGAAAAUUCCAGAUUCUCACUAGCUGUUUAUGCUCUGAAGCAUUUUGACAGCAGCCAAAACAAUAUCUACAUGACCCCCAAUGGAAUGAAAAUUUACAUAGAGCUAGACAAACACGAAAGCUAUAAAUUUCCAGUUGAUAGCAAAGGCUCAUUCCGUACACAUGGACCUCUACAAGCACAACAACAGGAGAAGAAAAUAUAAGCAGAUUCUCAGACUUAGUGAAAAUCACAGAUUUUCACUAAACUGGAAUUUCAGCCACAUGCCUANNNNNNNNNNNNNNNNNNNNNNNNNNNNNNNNNNNNNNNNNNNNNNNNNNNNNNNNNNNNNNNNNNNNNNNNNNNNNNNNNNNNNNNNNNNNNNNNNNNNNNNNNNNNNNNNNNNNNNNNNNNNNNNNNNNNNNNNNNNNNNNNNNNNNNNNNNNNNNNNNNNNNNUAUAGAGGGGGUCACCCUCUAAUGCCACAACAAGGAAUCAACCUCUUGGGCUCACCACAUCUCAUUGAACCAAGCUCCAAACAUUGAACAAAUCUGAAAUAUGACAUUCCCAGANNNNNNNNNNGAAACAACGUAACAAGAAAUGACGUCCUCAGACUUGGUGAAAAUCACAGAUUUUCACUAAACUGGAAUUUCAGCCACAUGCCUACUUUGACUAGGCACAACUUGCACAUAUGAGCUACUAAGCAUGAAACAAAACCAACAUGCCAUAGAGGGGGUCACCCUCUAAUGUCACAACAAGGAAUCAACCUCUUGGGCUCACCACAUCUCAUGGAACCAAGCUCCAAACAUUGAACAAAUCUGAAAUAUGACAUUCCCAGANNNNNNNNNNUCAAAGGCAAAACUGACUUCACCAAUGGAUUCCUGGGAUGUUUCUACCCCAAAAACAUAUAUAAUACAUGGGCACUUGCAUAGAACAAAUGGGCACAAACUAGAAAAGAAAAACUACAUAGAAUCACAUAUAGUGAAUAGUGCAUCAUCACAUGUGCUAUUCACUAGAACAACAUCUACACAAGCAUAUGCACACUCUCACAAGCACAAUGGUGACAUGAGGGUUUAGACCUCAUGCAUGUGUUCCAUAGCACCUCACCAUACCCACACACAUACAACAAGCACAAGCAUUACAACAAGCACAAGCAUCACAACACCUACAUAUGCUAAUAAGGACACACACACUAGAUGACACCACAUCAUCCAUACCCCUACACAUAUGAACAUGCUCAAGUGCUCAUCCAAGGUUAACCAAGCCUUGGGUAUGUGUGGGUCACCACACACUUACAACACACUCAUGACAAGAGCACCCACAUAAACACAAGGUGGGUGAGGGGGGAAACCCACACACACACUCACACCACACUCUCAAGCAAUAGUGCAUGAGCUCAACUCUCAUCAUGCAUAUAUGUUUCACACGCACACCACAUAAGCAUCAUCACUUAGUGCCAUACACUCACAAGGUGCANNNNNNNNNNGCCAUAGCACCUCACCAUACCCACACACAUACAACAAGCACAACCAUCACAACACCUACAUAAGCUAAUAAGGACACACACACUAGAUGACACCACAUCAUCCAUACCCCUACACAUAUGAACAUGCUCAAGUGCUCAUCCAAGGUUCACCAAGCUUUGGGCAUGUGUGGGNNNNNNNNNNNNNNNNNNNNNNNNNNNNNNNNNNNNNNNNNNNNNNNNNNNNNNNNNNNNNNNNNNNNNNNNNNNNNNNNNNNNNNNNNNNNNNNNNNNNAUACACCACACAACCUACACAUGCAUAUAACAACUACUAAGCUAGCAAAUACUAGCAACACAUGUUGUUGGAGGCAAGCAAAAAAAAUACCCACAUGAAGAUCUACCACCCCACUUACAUCUAUGCAAGCAUACAAUGCAAAAACAGGAAGAAUGCAACAAAAAUAUAAAAGGUUUUGGGGGGGAGGGGUCGAACCCUGGAGCCCCUGGUUCAAGCCACAGACCCAAACCACUCUGCUAACCUGCACUAGCUCGAUAGAGAAGGGAAAGCUUGCAAGGUAAGGUUGCACUCUGCGCUACUGUGCGAAACAAAGGAAAUAAAAAGGGGGGUGGCAACCCUGGGACUCGAACCCUGCCCCUCACGCCAACACAGACAACACCAUGCACUGCAACCACUAGGAUACGCUACGGGGAGUUGACUGAACAGAGGGGGGUAUACUAGGUAUACUACCAAGCCUCGCUGCUUGGCUCUGAGCACAGAGAGACGUCGGCGGCAGAGGACAUCACCGGGGCAGCCUGAGCUAGCUACUGCUGCUCUACGAGGGGGAAGAACUACCCUACUGCUGCGAGGAAAAACCUCUACACUGCUACUGCAUCUACUCGAGCACAUACACUACACAGAACAAACAAGAACACCCANNNNNNNNNNACCUCUUCUCUGAACAGAGAAGCACGGUGACGAUCAUCGCCGGAUCUAAUCGAGGGGAAGGGAGAGAAGAGGGCAUCCUCACCUAGGGAAGGAGAAGGGUACGCCGACUGGAGGAGGAGGCAGGUUGGAGAGGAACGAAGACGCCCUGACGAAGCCUAGAGACGUCCUGGAUGCAGAGCCGAAGGAGAGGAAGAAGACCGACGGGANNNNNNNNNNGUUGGCCAGCUCCUGCCCGUGGGUGAGGUCGCUCCCCGGCCUCACCGAGGACGGGAAUGGAGCAUGGGGUCCUGCCCCGAGCCCGUGGACAUGGCGGCCGGCACCGGAGACGACGGGAGCAGGGUAGACGACGGCGGGGCUCUUCUCUCUCUCUCUGCUAGAUCGGCUACCGAACUUACCUUGGGGGAGGAAGAAGAGAUGGGGGAGAGUGGCGGCGCAAGGAGGGGAAAGGAGGAACCCUAAGGGAAGGGGGCACGCACGCCGAGGCUAUAUGGGGGGGCCUCGACAUCCGUGAGCCCUCACGGCGACUCUCUCUUUCUCGGUUGUCUGACGAAAAGCGAGCAGAGGGGUAGACGCCAUCAGGAGGAGGAAGGAGGGACGCGGAGGCUGGGCUGCUGCGCCCGUAGAGAGGGAGGAAUGGGCCUGCUAGUGGGAGGGAGCCCACUAGUACCGCUAGAUACGAGAAAUAUAACUCCUGGAGUUUUAUCCAAUUUCAAAUAACUAGAGAAAGCAAAUAAAGCACAGGCUAAACUAUAGAUGCUAAAAAUAAAACUAGCACACCCCUGGUCAUAAGAUAAUAUAACCUAUUUAAGAAAAAUGGAAAAUGAUUUUUUAUGAGCCUCUAAAUAUUUACGAAACAGAAUAUGUUGGGCUGUUUUGUGAAUAUUUUGCACCUAAUAGACGGAGAUGACUCCCUCUCCCUCUCUCCCCUCCUCCUCCUCCUCCUCCCACCUCCAUCUCCACAGCCUCUCCAAUCCUUCCAACCAUGAAGAUUUCUCAUGUUAAUCAAGAUGGAAGGGCUCAUACAUUGGGAUUUCUCACCAGGGUUAGCCGUGGCCAAACAGGUGAGGCUCAAGUUUGGCACCAUGGUGCAUUUUUCUUCUCCCCGGACAGGCAAAGUUUUCUACUUGGUGGUUUCUUUCUCCUCGGCCUCUUUCCCCUUGAAUGAAUAUUCAGUGGGCAUUUCUCUCCAAUGUUGCUUGGGUGGUUUAAGCUCGGGUUUCUCUGUCCGAAAAAUAUCAGCAAGAACCUUUCGGUUUAGUGUUGCCAACAACAAAGUGGGUCACUUCAUCUAUGGACUCGAAGAUAGAGUUUGGCCAGAUUUUGUUUGUCAUUUCCACCUCUUCAAGGGACGUUUUGCUCAGGCUAUACAUCAUGAUUAUCAUUGGCAUGCAGAUGAGGAAUUGGUUAACAUCUCUUCUAGGAAGUCUAUGGCGAUCAAAACUGAUUUAAGUUUUCUUGGCAAAGAGAUUAUCAAUGAUACUACAUCGGGUUUGCUCCACUCCUCAAAUUUGGUUAAGCUUGAUCUUAGCAACUUUUGCAAUCGUCAUGGGGGUGAAGCAUCAUCCUCACAUGCAGUAACGCAUGCCCACAAUCAACGUAACAUGGCACAUGCAAGUUUGAAUACAACAACGCCAUCCUCGGAGGAAAGCCCGCAUAUGCGUUUAAUGGAGAGUUAUGUCGCCCUAGCGGAUUUGGAGGAAGUGGGAUCUGCCUCUAAUUCCAAUUUCCAUCAUUUGGGCAGUUUCCGAUUUCGUCUUAAUGUUCCAUAUCCUACUCCACCGCAGUGUUUCCUUACAUCAACGUUUAAAUACGUGCCACAGCCUUCGGAGUGGCCGCCGGUUUUAGUGGCUCGUCACAAGGCAGAUUUAGCGCAAGCCCAAUACUCUGCCGAGGAAAUCUCGGAAUUAGCCAUUAAUUGGCCGUUUUUAUGCGCAAGAUGCCUUCAAUGGGGCAUCAUAAACGGGACUGUUUCUCGCGCGUGAUUUGCAUUAACUGCUCAGCUCCUAAUCACAAGAUGAUUGCUUCCCUACGAUUAUUAAGCAUAGUCUGUCGGCCGACACGACUACUACUCGGGCAAUUAGCACCAGAGAUUGCAAUCAAUCCAAAGUUGUCGUUUCCCGCUUGGUUCCCUCUCCAGGCAAACGUCUCGCGAUACAAGGUGCGACUGGUGUGGGGCAUAUGGACACAAGAUCCAUUUCUGUUUUAAGCGAGAAAAAUACUCUAAAUGGAUUUGGAUACCUAAAGUUUCCAGUUCUACCCCUCACGCUUCGAAUUCUGCGCCUUCCCCCACAGAGCUCAUCACCCUCCUGUCCCCUCCGAGACUACGGCCGCCACACCCUCCUUUGUCUUCUUUCUCAUCGCCGUCUCCUCGGCUGUCAACCACCUCCAUUGCCAUGGCUAACUAUCCACUAAACCCAGUACCGUUCCUCCCGCCCGGAUUCGCCGUGGAACCUGGUCCGAGUGAUAGAAUCGUGCGGAGUGGCAUGGUGAUUGGGCCGUUUCCACCCCUCAACCACGACUUCCUGGCGAUUGCGGAGGCAAGUCACUAUGUUCAUCUUCAUUGCCGCGAAGCCAUCCGAGCUCAGAUCGAAGGUUUGCUUCACGAAGCUCACUUAUUCACCACUGAAUCUUCUGAUCAUCCAUUGGGCAUUGGGAUAUUUGGAUUUGCGGAUGCUUUCAUGAGAGAUACCGCCAUUGCUUCUCCCCUAGAGCUUGAGGACGAGGAUCUCCUCAUCACUUUUGUACCUCGCAACGAAGCUCUGAAUCACCAUAGCACUACCUUUGGGCCUGAACUCUGGAUUAUGUACUUUGGGUUUCCCUAUGACUAUCAGACAGAGUACUAUAUACAGAAAUCUCUAGGUGGUUUUGGUGCUCUUGUUUCCUGGUAUAACCCGAGACAGGAUAGGAGAUUUGUUCUGCUCAAAGUGAGAGUCCUCAAUAUGCGUUUAAUUCCAAAGAGCUUUGUAGUUUGGCAACUAGGUGGUGCUAGAGACUGUUGGACUAUUCAAGUUACUAUCUUGCGUAGCAAUGACUGGAAUGGUUUGUUGCCUGAAGUUCUCCCUGCAGGGGAGGAACCACCUCGCCCUGAUGGCAACCCACACCCUCAGUUUGGCCCUGAACUAACUGCUGAGCAACUAUACCAACAGCAAGUGCAUAACUGGCUAGUUCAAAAUGGAGCUCAACCUCAUGAGGCUCCUCCUGCUAAUGUAGCCCCACAGCAACAGGAUCAGAACAAUGGAUGGGGAGUGUGGCCAGCUUCACCACCACAGUUACCUCCCUACCUCUACAAUUUUCAAGCUUGGCUUGCUGGUCAGGGACUCCAAGUGCAAGAUGGUUUGGUUCCUGAGGAUAAUAUUUCAGAUAGUGCUUCUCAGGCUUGGAAUGAUGCUAUCUCUUACUCCAACAGUUCUGCUAGCACCACUAUCUCUACUGGAUCACUGCCUCCACUAGUGAUGAACUCUCAAACACUUCAGCAGCAACAUUCUGAGGGCCUUUUGAGAAUCUCUCUUGAAGUUCACAAUGAAGGAAUUCGUUUUGGUCUAUCUGAGCAUGGAGAAUCAGUGCUCACCCUGAUGUUAACUGAUCCAGCUCCAAGACAACAGCUAAAUGACUUCAUUUUUAGAACCAUAAAACCUCUCCUAGCUUCUAGAGGCCCUUGGAAUAAUGGUUUUGGUUUCAAGCAUGAAUGUCUGAAUGUGGAAUUUGAAGUGGCUCUGGGAAAUGAUGGUAUAAUCUUUAGCAACACAUGUUCUACUCCCCCAUGAUCAGCUCAUCAUGUGCUGUUGUGAUAGAAGCAUUAUCCCCUGAGCAGCCUCUGUCUUCAACUCUAGAGCAAACACAUCCAUUCGAAGCAGAGUGCAACAUGGAUCAGGAGCCACAAGUCAGCAUGAUCCCUCUAAAGAACAACGGCAAAAUGAAGCUACAAGUGGAUACUGCUAACCUUCGCCGCAGCCUGCGUUCAAACAAAUAUGAUGGUUUCAAGAUCCCAUCCAUGGCAGAGGGUAAGAUCACUAAGUCAAAAGUUAAACCCAGGAUGAUUCCUAAUAUUGCACUACAUGAAGAUGACCGUGCUCUGACACUUGAGGUACCCCCACCUACUGCCAUCAACACCAUGCAAGCCAUUGGAACACAACUUUGUGCCAUACCUGAAGCAGAGCUUGCAGCUAAGGAGCUCCUUCGCGAAGAUCCAGGCCCUGAAGAUGGCCAAGCUUGAACUUGUGCCUGACCUACCACUUCUUUAGUCUUUAUGGUGCUUUUGAAUAGUUGGAAUGUCUUAUGUUGGAACAUUCGUGGUCUUAAUUCGCCCAAAAACAUCUAGCUCUAUCGAAUGCUAUUCGUGACAGCAGCUGCUCUAUCAUUUAUUUACAAGAAACAAAAAUGCCCUGGUUCGAUGAAAAUGACUUAUGUACCUUGUGUCCCAAACGAUUUGACAAAUUUGCAUAUAUUCCCUCCAGAGGGGCCUCUGGUGGGCUAGUCACGAUUUGGAACAGCUCUAUGUUCAUAGGAGAUACGUUUGUAGAAGAGGAAUUCACUCUAGGGGUCCAGUUCUCAUCAAAGCAAUCAACGGUGGCCCCUGCCAAGGGGAACAACGAGUUCGUUUCACCACUUGGCUCUUUGAUCUUGAUAUUGUGGCGACCGAGGACUGGUUGAUCCUAGGGGAUUUCAACUACAUUAAAGCCCCAACAAACCGCAAUCUACACGGAGGUGACAUUCAAGACAUGUUUACGUUUAAUGAAUUCAUCAGCGAGCAGAAGUUAAUAGAGAUCCCAAUCAAAGGCCGAGCAUAUACAUGGUCGAAUAUGCAGCAAAACCCCCUACUCGAACAGCUCGACUGGUUCUUUACCUAUCUGAAUUGGACCACCUCCUUUCCCAACACUUUGGUACGUCCCUUGGCGCUACCUGUAUCAGAUCAUAUCCCCUGUUCGGUAGAAAUCCAAACUAACAUUCCAAGCAACAAAAUCUUCCGCUUUGAAACCUACUGGAUUGCUCACCCGGGGUUUAUGGAUACGGUUUCACAAGCUUGGAAUAAACCCAUCAAACAUGGUAGGAAUAGCAAUGCAGCGGCGAUAAUUUGUCAGAAACUUAAGGCAGUACGCUUUGCGCUAAAAAGAUGGAGCAGCAGUAUCUCCCGUCUAAAGGUAGCGACCAUCAACACCAACAAGGCAUUACUGGAGAUAGAUGCCAUCGAAGACAGGCGUACUCUCACCACGCCAGAAAGAAACUUCCGGCACAUUCUCAAAAAUCACCUUCUCAGGUUGCUACAAUAACAGAAAGACUACUGGCACAAGAGAUGCACGAUCAGAUGGAUCAAGUUUGGAGAUGAAAAUACCAAAAAAAAUUCAAACGGUGGCAACUGAACGCUAUCGGCGCAACUAUGUGGCCACGCUCAAAACUGAUGAAGGGGUCGUGGUUGAGACACGUUCCAACAAGGAGACCCUCCUGUUUGACACCUACAGAACAAGGAUGGGCACAGCGAGAUCUCCGGAUAUACAAUUUGAUUUAAUGCAGCUCAGGCGACAAGGUGUAGACUUUGAAUCUCUCACGGUCCCCUUUGCAAAAGAAGAAAUAGACGCUGUAGUUAAAGAGAUGCCAGCUGGCAAAUCUCCAGGGCCAGACGGUUUUAACGGCGCCUUCCUUAAAACCUGCUGGCACAUCAUCAAGAAAGACUUCUAUGAUCUCUGUGAUGAAUUCCACCAAGGUAAUCUCAACCUAGAAUCUCUCAACUAUGGACACAUCAUGCUCGUCCCGAAAACGGCUUCCCCUGAGACAGUAAACGACUAUCGUCCCAUUACCCUUCUUAACUGCUGCCUCAAGAUGAUCACCAAGAUACUGACAAAGUGACUCCAGAAAAUUAUUCUAUAGAUUGUGCAUCGAAACCAAUACGGGUUCCUCCGUGGUAGAUCUAUUCAUGACUGCUUGGCGUGGGCUUUCGAGUAUAUUCACCAAUGUCAAAGCUCUCGAAAGGAGGUGGUCCUUCUUAAGUUCGAUUUCACUAAAGCGUUUGAUACAGUUGAACACUCGGCCAUGAUCACCAUCAUGCAACAUAUGGGGUUUAAUUCGAAGUGGAUCCAAUGGAUCCAAUGCAUCUUCUCGUCAGGGAAAUCAUCGGUAUUACUGAAUGGCGUCCCUGGUAAACAGUUCCCCGCAGAUGUGGAGUAAGACAGGGAGACCCCCUCUCACCAUUGCUAUUUGUGCUGGCGGCUGAUCUCCUCCAAACGGAGAUUAACAAACAAUUGAAUCUUGGCUUAUUAUCUCACCCUAUUGAUCCAAGAGGUGAUGCUACAUUUCCAAUGAUUCAAUACGCCGAUGACACCAUCAUCAUCAUGCAGGCGUGUACUGUCCAAGCUGCGCGAAUGAAACGAAUACUGGACGAUUUCGCCACGACGAUAGAGCUCAGGAUUAACUAUCAGAAAUCAACCCUAGUUCCUAUCAAUGUGACGCAAGACGGCUACGACAACAUCAUCUCGAUCUUUCGAUGUGCACAAGCAACAAUGCCAUUCACAUACCUAGGGCUCCCGCUGUGUACAUCUAAACCUACUGUCCUGGACAUGACGCCGCUUGUCUGUAAAGCGGAGAGGAAAAUCACAGCUGCCAUGUCGCUGAUGUCGCAUGUGGGAAGAUUGGCUUUGAUGAACUCACUCAUCACGUCACUGCUUGUGUACUCAAUGGGGACCCUUAGAAUUCCCCCAACGACCGUGGAACAAUUCGAUAAAAUCCGAAGGAGGUGUCUAUGGAGGAAGAAGACUGAGGAUAGGUUUAAAAGUAAUGCCCUAGUAGCGUGGGACGCAGUUUGCCGCCCCAAAGAAAAUGGCGGCCUAGGGGUCCUGAAUCUCAAGUUACAAAAUGAUGCCAUGCUCCUGAAGAUGCUUCACAAGUUCUAUAACCGAAAAGAGAUCCCAUGGGUAGCAUUGAUCUUGAACACGCACUACAGUGACGCAAUACCCCAUGCGCGAGAUCGAUGUGGCUCCUUUUGGUGGCGAGAACUAACUAAACUUAUGCUGGUGUUCCGAGGGAUAACGCGAGUCAGGGCUAACGAUGGCCUCUCGACGCUCUUUUGGAAAGAUGACUGGAACAAUGCUGUAUAUGCAAAAAAGUUUCCCCGGGCCUUCUCCUUCGCUAGAACUGAAGAUGUUUCGGUUCAGACCUUCUUGGGGACAAGCUCACUACAGGAAGCCUUCUUAUUGCCGCUGUCGGAACAAGCGCAUGAAGAACUCAAGGUGAUGCAACAUGAAAUCAGAGAUGUGCGGCUAAACCCUAGAGGAGAUGACUGGGUAUGUUCCUGGGGAGCUGACACCUUUGCAAUUGCGGCAUAUCAACGGUUCUAUUUCAGAGGAGCUACGAUGCAUGCAGCGUUUAGCCGGCUAUGGAAAACAAAAUGUGUCCCAAAGAUCAAGGUGUUCGGAUGGUUCUGGCUGAUGGACAGGCUCAACACGAGGAAUAUGCUCAAACGAAGACAUUACAACAUCGGGUCUACUCUUAACUGCAUGCUAUGUGAUCGACAUGUGGAGGAAACCCUUGAACAUCUCCUUUGGAGUGCAGCUUUAGCCAACGUUGUUGGGAUAUGCUAAACAUCAAAUGGUCAGAUGGACGACAUAGACUGGAGAUACUGCAACAUCAGAGGACAGAACACCCCAGGAACAUGUUCAUGGAGAUUUUCCUAGUGGCGGCCUGGAGUCUAUGGAAGGAAAAAAAUAACAAGUGCUUUGAGCAAAUAACUCCCUCUCUGGGGGCCUGGCAACGUAGAUUUGUAUUAGACUUCUCCAAUCUUAGACACCGUGUGCCUGCUAGCAAGGUGCAAACCAUAGAUAACAUCGUUGCAACCCUAGCUGACACCCCAUAAUAUGUAACUCCUCCCCUGCCCACCUCACCCCCCUCACCCACUCCACCCCCCUCCAAUCAUGUACAUGUGUAACUAUUGGCAAUAUAUAGACAUGCAGUAGGAUUUUAUCCUACUGUCUUACACUCAAAAAAAAUAUUUUGCACCUUUAAAACUUGGAUCAAAAUAGCAACUUCACUUGCNNNNNNNNNNAAAACAGGAAAGGAUCAAGUGAAACUUGACAUUGCGACGAAAUAGAGAGGGGGGAGUUUUCUAAAACCCUAGUGCAAACCAACAUGGUUUCCUACUAGCAAUUGCACCACUCAAGUCCAAUUACACACACACCAUCAUCACAUCACAACUCAUGGAACACAAGAACAACAAUACAAAGGCAAGGAUGAAUGUGAUGGCAUGNNNNNNNNNNNNNNNNNNNNNNNNNNNNNNNNNNNNNNNNNNNNNNNNNNNNNNNNNNNNNNNNNNNNNNNNNNNNNNNNNNNNNNNNNNNNNNNNNNNNNNNNNNNNNNNNNNNNNNNNNNNNNNNNNNNNNNNNNNNNNAAAGAUACACUCUUGGGGCAUUACAGAGAAUCACGACCGGUCAACUACACUAUAGAGCUAACAUCAGGAGUACGUAUGGAGGUGUCACCCUCCGUACUCGAUAGUAGCCUUGCAUCGUCGUACAACUAAGGGGGUGUGAGUGAUGUGACGGGUCUUGGCUCAUCAAUCAGAUGAUUGAGACUUGAUGAAAAAGGCAGGGGCAACUGGACUAGGGGGGGUAAAUGGGAAUCACUUCUCCACCUAUACUAAGUAGUUUAAAGUGCGGUAGAAUAAAGUAGCAGUUCAUCAGGAACGGGCUAUGCAUCAGAAUAGGAGCUAUCUACAACAGUAGAAAAAUCUAAUGCAAGCAUGAGGAAGAAAGAAUAGGCAGCAUAGGAAUGAUCAAGGGGGGUUUGCUUGCCUUGUUGCUCUGCGGCAAAGGGCUGGUCGUCACGAGGAUAGUCGUACCUGGCAGCAGCGUCAGUCUCGGGGUCUGUCGGUAAGAAGAGGGGGAUAAACAAUAAAUAUAAAGUAGACAAAUGCAUCACGAUGCAUGACAUGGCAAUAUGCAGUGCUAGGCAUGAGCUAACGUAGUAUUACCCAUCAUAGACGGAUUGGGAAAAUAUCUGAGAUAUUUCCCGGGUCUCUGGCUACUACCAGACAAGCGAAACGGAUGGAAAAGUUCCAUAUUCGCUAUGAUAGGGACGCGUGACAAACGAACGGCGUAUCCGGAUUCGUCUCGUUUUUCUGAUCAACUUUCAUUUAUAAAUUAUUUUCAUCUCACUUACGGAUUAUUUUAUAUUAAAUUAUCAAGGUUUUAUUAAUAUUUUAGAAUUAAUAGAUUUAAUUUAAUUAUAAAAAUGAUAUUAUCACAUUAGCAUGAUGUCAGUCAACAGCUCAGUUGACUCGUCAAUUUGACCAGUGAGCCCCAUUGUCAUACAGACUCGCCUAACGAGGGUAUAUUAAACCCAACUAUUGAUUUAUUAGUAAGGGAACACACAUGUCAUACACUCACAUUCAGUUAAUAGAAUUAAUUAAUUAGAUUAGGUAUAACUAACUUAACUAAUUACUUUCAUUAAUUAGACAAAUCAAUCAAGGGUUAAUUAAGCCAACUAAUUAAACACAAUUAUAUAAUUAACUCGUUUAAUAUUAUUUACUUAUUGUUUCAUUUUCAUUUUUAUAUUCAUUUUAUAGUAAUUUAUUAAUUAAGGCGUUUUACUGGGGGUGACCCCAUGGUGGACAGGGAGAGGCCCGGGGCCGAAAGGGGCAGCCGAAAAAGGCAACGACACCGUGGCCGGAAAGGCGACGGCGGUGGUGGUGCCGACGGCCGUGGGACGAGUGGCUGCGGUUUCCGGCAGGGCCAACGGGGCCAACAUCGGGGAGCACACGAAGGCGGCUGGCGAUGUGCGUGUGGUGGUCGGAGGGCUGCCAGCGGCAGCAGCGAUGAGCGGGGCCGGUCGAGCACCACGUGUGUGCGAGCGGCACGAGGGGAACGCGGUCAAGGUGAGCGCGCGGUGCAGCGGGGCCGUAGUGCGGGCGCGGGACAAGGGGGCGAGCAAGGCGGGGGCGCAUGGGCGUGGUCUAGUGAGGGAGAGAGGGAUGCGAGUGACAGUCGGGGUUUCUCGUCGGUGGGGGCUCGCCGGAGCGAGGGGUUGCACGUUGAGGGGAGGGGGCCAUCGGAGGGAAAGAAGAGGAGAGGAGGGGGCGGGUCUCACUGCCGUUGUAGGGGAGUGGCAAACUGCUCCGGGGCGAGGCGGGGGAAACCAUUGGUGGGGAAGAGUCGGGGAGGUGGUGCGAUGGUGGUCGGUGUCGGCAGUGGUGGCAGUAGAGGACCGCUGAGGUGGGGCAAGGUGGGGCCGACGGCUAGCGCCGGCAAGGGCGGCUCGGGGCGGCCACUAGUCGAAGCGGCGUCGAGGCGGCGCCAUGGCCNNN